rnacentral:misc_RNA from 1 species
GGCUGGAUCACCUCCUUUCUAAGGAGCCUGUCGAUAUCCAUCGACAAUUCCUAGGUCAAUCCUGUAUCGGUCACCACUAUUUAGUUUUGAGGGAGCAAGAACGUAGACGAUUGAACUGUUCUAUGGGCUGUAAGCUGUCGUCCGGAUCAAGUUCACUCUGAAGCUGAAAGGGCCUAUAGCUCAGCUUCGGUUAGAGCGCACGCCUGAUAAGCGUGAGGUCGUUGGUUCAACUCCAACUAGGCCCACCACCCUGAACACGGACGUCGGGGUUUGGAAUUUCGAAAAGUCCGAAUUCCGAGAUGCUCGUGUAGCCGUUUUCAGUGGGGGUGUAGCUCAGUUGGGAGAGCGCCUGCUUUGCACGCAGGAGGUCAUCGGUUCGAUCCCGUUCACCUCCACCACCACUGGUGUUGAAGGUCCAAAGCGGAGGGCUCAGUUUUACUGGGCUUUCGGCUCUGGGCUUUGAGCUCAGCGCGAAAGCGAGUUUUGUUCUUUGAAAACUGAAUACAGGAUAAAUGGCAUCUUAAAACGCCCUCGGGAUGUAACCGAAAACGUGGAUUUGGCAGGUUUAUGGCCAAGCUACUAAGGGCAGACGGUGGAUGCCUUGGCGCUGGAUGGCGAUGAAAGACGUGGUUAGCUGCGAUAAGCUUCGGCGAGCCGCUAAACAGGCAUUGACCCGAAGAUUUCUGAAUGGGGGAACCCAUUCGCCGUAAUGGGCGAAUAUCUGUCAUUGAAUACAUAGGUGGCAGAGGCAAACGAGGGGAACUGAAACAUCUAAGUACCCUUAGGAAGAAAAAGCAAACGCGAUUCCCAGAGUAGCGGCGAGCGAAAAGGGAAAAGCCUAAACCGGACAUAUGUUAAAGCCUGCAAGCGUUGUAUGUUCGGGGUUGCGGGGUCUUAUCGGAGAAGUUUGCAGAUUUCUCGGCAAGUCAAAAACUCAAUGAAUAGUUGAAGCUGCUGGAAAGCAGCACCAUAGAAGGUGAUAGUCCCGUAGACGAAAUUCAUUGAGCUUGCUGGAUAGGAUACCCAAGUACCGCGGGACACGUGGAACCCUGCGGGAAUCCGGGAGGACCAUCUUCCAAGGCUAAAUACAAGCCAGCGACCGAUAGUGAACUAGUACCGUGAGGGAAAGGUGAAAAGAACCCCGGCGAGGGGAGUGAAAUAGUACCUGAAACCGUCUGUCUACAAACAGUGGAAGAACAUUUGAAGUCGUGAAGGGCUUGCUCUUCUGAUUUCAAGUUCAACUGCGUACCUUUUGUAUAAUGGGUCAGCGAGUUACUCUAUGUUGCAAGGUUAAGCCGUCAGGUGGGGCCGCAGCGAAAGCGAGUCUUAAUAGGGCGAAUGAGUAGCAUGGAGUAGACCCGAAGCCAGGUGAUCUAUCCAUGGGCAGGGUGAAGGUCGAGUAACAUCGACUGGAGGCCCGAACCGUAGAAGGUUGAAAACUUCCCGGAUGACCUGUGGAUAGGAGUGAAAGGCUAAUCAAACCUGGAAAUAGCUGGUACUCCCCGAAAUAUAUUUAGGUAUAGCCUCACAAAUUGAGUAACGGGGGUAGAGCACUGGAUGGGCUAGGGGUCCUACCAGAUUACCAAACCCAACCAAACUCCGAAUACCGUUAACUUUUAUUGUGGGAGUCAGACUGCGGGAGAUAAGUUUCGCGGUCGAGAGGGAAAUAGCCCAGAUCACCAGCUAAGGUCCCUAAAUAUGUGCUAAGUGGUAAAGGAAGUGGAAUCGCACAGACAGCCAGGAGGUUGGCUUAGAAGCAGCCAUCCUUUAAAGAAAGCGUAACAGCUCACUGGUCAAGUGGUUCUGCGCCGAAAAUGUAACGGGGCUCAAGCACAUUACCGAAGCUGUGGAUCACGCCUUUGGCGUGGUGGUAGGGGAGCAUUCCAUUCUGGGUAGAAGCCAGACCGUGAGGACUGGUGGACUGGAUGGAAGAGAAUAUGCUGACAUGAGUAACGAUAAAUACCGUGAGAAACGGUAUCGCCGUAAGCCUAAGGUUUCCUGAGUAAAGGUAAUCUUCUCAGGGUUAGUCGGUCCCUAAGCUGAGGCCGAAAGGCGUAGGUGAUGGGAAACAGGUUAAUAUUCCUGUACCGCCGAAUUGACGUUUGAGUGAUGGGGGGACGCAGAAGGGUAGGUCAGUCCGGUGUUGGACAUCCGGAUUCAAGCCUGUAGGUGGAGAGGGUAGGCAAAUCCGCCCUCUUAUUCAACACCGAGAGGUGAUGAGGAUCCGCUUUGCGGAACAAACUGAUUGAUCCCACACUGCCUAGAAAAGCCCCUAGCGAGUUGAUUUGGUGACCGUACCGCAAACCGACUCAGGUAGGCGGGGUGAAUAUCCCAAGGCGCUCGAGAGAACUCUGGUUAAGGAACUCGGCAAAUUGACACCGUAACUUCGGAAGAAGGUGUGCCUCCGUUAAGUGAAGAAACUUGCUUUUGGAGCUGAAGGAGGUUGCAGAGAAAUGGGGGUGGCGACUGUUUACUAAAAACACAGGACUCUGCUAAAUCGUAAGAUGAUGUAUAGGGUCUGACGCCUGCCCGGUGCUGGAAGGUUAAGGGGACUUGUUAUCGCGUUUCGGCGCGAGAAGCAUCGAACCGAAGCCCCAGUAAACGGCGGCCGUAACUAUAACGGUCCUAAGGUAGCGAAAUUCCUUGUCGGGUAAGUUCCGACCUGCACGAAUGGCGUAACGACUUCCCCACUGUCUCGACCAGGGACUCGGUGAAAUUGAAAUAGGGGUGAAGAUGCCCUUUACCCGCGAAAAGACGGAAAGACCCCGUGAACCUUUACUAUAGCUUGACAUUGGACUUUGGGCUGACAUGUGUAGGAUAGGUGGGAGACGGCGAAAUCUCGACGCUAGUCGGGAGGGAGUCAACCUUGAAAUACCACCCUUAUCAGUUUAGGGUUCUAACCUAGGCCCGUAAUCCGGGUCGGGGACAGUGUCUGGUGGGUAGUUUGACUGGGGCGGUCGCCUCCCAAAGCGUAACGGAGGCGCG